CGCGCAGGCGGUCGAUCAAGUCGAGUGUGAAAGCCCCCGGCUCAACUGGGGAGGGUCAUUCGAUACUGAUCGACUCGAAGGCAGGAGAGGGUAGUGGAAUUCCCGGUGUAGUGGUGAAAUGCGUAGAUAUCGGGAGGAACACCAGUGGCGAAGGCGACUACCUGGCCUGUUCUUGACGCUGAGGCGCGAAAGCUAGGGAGCAAACG
rnacentral:rRNA from 1 species